CAUGCUGGAGGAGGACGGAGGAGGAAAACAUGAGACCUUUAUCAUAGAUCAUCUUCAGAAUCCCCAGAGAAACCACAUUUUUUAACUAUUUAUAAAGUAUAUUUUGAAUCCCACUUGACUACUUAUAUUGUCUAGGUAAAAUAUGAAACAAUCUGUAAAUUGUCUAUAAAGACUGUCAUUAAUUGAGAGCUAACCGUUUAAUAUCUGACAAAUUUUUAAAAAACAUCAAGAAAUAUUAGUAUAAUAUCGAGAAAAUACUAGUAACUGGAGGCAUCAGUAUGCUCUGAAAUCGACAGACACUUUGACCCUCUGGAGUCACAGAAAAGACUGAAACUCCAGCCACAGGGAGCCGCUGCAGAUGGCCUGAAGAGCCUCAUGUGGCUCUGGAGCCGCAGGUUGCCGACCCCUGAUCCAGCGUUGAGCUCCAGCACGGCGUCCUUCAUGGAGGCUCCCAGCAGAGCUCGGGCCAGACACAGGAUGCUGGUGGUCUUCCCGGUGCCUGGAGGACCUGCACCACAACACACGGCACUCAUUCAGUGUUUCCCACCAGAUACACUGGCACUUACAGGACUAUAUUCUAAUAUACUGAAUAACCAACCGACCUGAGAUGAUGAUGUUCGGGACGUUUCCCUCCGUGGCGAACACCUCCAGACGGCUCACCGUCUCCUCGUUCCCCACGAUCUGGUUGAGCUUCAGCGGCCGGUACUUCUCCACCCAGGGCAGCUCGUAGGAGC